rnacentral:lncRNA from 1 species
ACAUAAUUUGGCUUUUCAUUAGAAAUAGUGGUUAGCAAAGGCACCUCCUUGCAAAAGAGCAAGUACAAAGGCUGGUGUGACACAAUUGCUUUUAUCACAUCUUUUUUUUUUUUUGCAAUUAAACUUUGUUUCUUUUCUCUUUUAUCAUUCUUUUUCUUUUCAUUAUUUUCUUUUUCUUUUUCUCUUUCUUUUUCUUUUUAUUUUUCUUUUUCUUUUUCUUUUCUUUCUUGAUCAUAUUUUUCUCUCAUUUUUCUUUGAUCUUCUCUCACCUCACUAGGAUUUAACGGUACAAGA